rnacentral:rRNA from 1 species
GGGUCAGUAGGUUGGUCGUGCCACCGGUACGUACUGGUCUCACUGAUUCCUCCUUCCUGAAGAACCGUAAUGCCAUUAAUUUGGUGUCGCGGGGAAACAGGACUGUUACUUUGAAAAAAUUGGAGUGUUUAAAGCAAGCUAACGCUUGAAUACAUUAGCAUGGAAUAAUGAAAUAGGACGAUCGAUCCUAUUUUGUUGGUUUCUAGGAUUGACGUA